rnacentral:rRNA from 1 species
UGAAGUUAGCAAAGGGAAAGUUCAGUCGUACCUUCGGGUAAUCAGCCUUUCGGGUGCGAUUCUGUGGAGUUUGAGGAGCUUAACACCUUCAUGCUUUGCAUAUUCGUGCUCUUGGGUGUACUUGCUCGUAUGGUUGGUUAACAUCAAUUUUGGUGGUCAUAAAAUGACUGGAGGAAUGUAGCUUCGAUCUUGUAUUGAAGUGUUAUAGCCUUCGGUAGAUGUGAUGACUGAGAUUGAGGAUUGCAACGGAUACCCUUCGGGGCUACCUGUCUGAUCUCUGAUCGUUGCUCUGGUGCCGAAAGCUUGCUUACGGUUGUCAAAGUCGAUGGUCAAUAGGUUAGAAUGGGUUAAA